CCACUCUAGGCCUCUAUGUUAUUACAAUUCUAUUGAUAAGAGCGUAAAUGAUCAAGAGGGUCAACCCCAGAAAGUUUCUCCAGCACGAAGGGCCAAAAUGUCCCUGGAUAAUGCAUAGAUAUGCUGGGCCAUCUUCUUUAGAGUAUCUUGAGCUGACAAUGGCCCUUUGUGACGUACAGUUGAAAUGUAUUUUUAGUAUUUCUGAGAUUUAAGAAAACAUUUUUUUUUUAACUGAUUUUUUUCGGUUGAUUAUUAAGGCUGAUUUAUGCAAAAUCAAAAAUGAUUUUGAUGCAGUUGUGAAUUUUUUAAAUUUUUUUUACCAUCGCUUUUGGAGAUUAACCCCUUAAGGACCAGGCUGUUUUU